CACCUGGAUAUGAAGUUUUCUUCAUGGCUGCAGAUAAUCUCUUCUCUUCUGCUCGCAGUGUUUUAAUAAAAAGAGGAAAAUCUCAAAAGUGUCGUUUGCAUCCGUAACUUUUUCCAGACUGCGUCUUCCUGUGCCGCCUUCUCUGUCGUCUCUGGACCGACCGGUCUCUAAAGCUCGCUCCUAUGCUUUUUAGAGCUCCCUAAACUUUGCCCCAGUGUUUUAUUCCCACCUCUAUCUGCUUCAGGAGACGCUGUCUGGAGAAAGUUUGAAAGUAAGCAAAGACAUUGCUUUAUUGAUUUAGAAUUAAAAAUACAGACAAUUGUAUUACACAUAUUCCACUUAACAGAAAAAUAAACCUUGAUUUAAUCAGUACCAAGAUUUUAUACUUAGUUUUAGUCUUUAUUUUAACUACCAAAAUACUACAAAGCAUAUUUGUAGCACAUUUGUUGCUAUUACACGGUUAGUAUUAAAAUGUGUGCCAACACCUUCUUGAAAUGCAUUUAGAGUGAAAUAUUUUAUCGGAAGAAUUUGGUUUGGAAAAGUUGAUAGUGCUUGACAUGCUAUUCCUAAAUAUAAACUGUUUACUGCAAAUACUUCUUGAUCAUGAAGCCUUUCUGUAGCCGAGAGCUUCAAAAUGACACCUGAGCGUUGGCAUUUAACUGAAUCAAAAUCUGUCUAUAUAAUAAAAAAAAAAAUAAUAAUUUCACAAGUGAAAGGUAGAGGUGAAAGUUAGUUCUGCUAAUAUAAACCGUAUCCUGAAAUGUAUCACACUGGUUUCCUGAUGCUUCUGGUCCUAAAAUCACUUAAAAACAGUGAACUGCAAUCUGCAUUUAGAAAUAUGCAAGACGUCUAUGUGUUUCAAUCAUGUUAGAUGCGUCACGAUUACUAAAAACACUUCAGGAAAUCUGGGAACAGAACAAAAGAUUUUAUAGAUGGAAUUGUUUAAAACUCCUCAUAUUUCCAAUUUGCCAGAUUCAUUUUAUUUGCUCUCUAAGUGUCAGAUUGUGUUGUUGUUUUUUAUUCCAUUCCAGCUCCACUUUGGUCUUUCUAUAUAAAACAUUAGUCAAACUUGGUACUAAAUUA